GAGAUGUGGAUGGACUUAGACAGCAUCAUAGAGUGAAGAUGUUGCCACCAACACUGAAAUCUGUCAACUGACUAUCACUUGGAGUCAGAUGAACUGCUUAUACCACAUACAGGGGAAAAGCAUAAAUGUGUGUUUGACUUCCAUGAAAUUAAUGAUAAAUGAGCUACUAAAGAGAGAGAAAGAUGAAAAUUGAGAGCUGAGAAAAUCACAAUUUAAAUAUUAUGAGCAGUUCUGCAUGCCACUCUCUUCAUUGCUCACAUGACCUGCACCAGUAUCGUCCAGGAGGAAUAAAUGAGUCCCUGAAGUGUGUACUGCACCCACCUUUAUCAUCUCACAUCUCAUCCCACAGACAGUGAACUCAUCUUUGUUGUCGGCAUCAGUCAUCAUGGUGAUCAACGUUAUUACUAUCAGAGCCGGGCAAGAAUACCCAGGAUGCAUGAGAUCAGUUUCCAACUGCAUUUCUACAUUCUCUAAUGGAAUGGGCCUGCCCAAGAGAGAAGAGAACAAAGAAAUGUGUAUGGGAGUUGGUCAUGAUCUCUGUCAAACCAAGACCACCCAGUGGACUCAUGGAAGGACAGAAGCCAGGCAAGGCCACAGGAUAGUAUUGCAGAGAAUGUCUACUGAGACGUAAGUAAUGCUACUCCCAGGAUCUCGUUUCUCCAAACACCCCAUCUCUUGUAAUACCAGAAACUCUCUUCCCUUCAUUUAUUGUAUUUCUGCAGCUUCUUCUGAAACUGAUUGCUUAUUCCUUUUCAAUUUUGUAUCUUGUUAUGGGUCAUUUCUCUUACACUAGAGAUGCUAAAGCCUGCAGAUUCUGCCGGAAAGUGACUCAUAGAUCUCAUUUGUGUUAAAAAUUUAAAACCUCAUGGAAUUUGGGCCAAACACAAAAUGUUAGGAUGUUUUAAAUUGUAUGAAAAUGUAGAUAAAAGACUUUAAGUGAAUAGAAUAGUGACUAAAGAAAUUAGUGCUAGUAAUAGCUCUCACGUAUUGAGGACCAACUAUGUACUUAAAGGUACCAAUGGCCAAGUUUCAUUAGAACAGUAUCUGUUAAAAGAUAAAAAGAUGGUCUUCAAAGCCAAUGGCUGGAUCUGUCCCAAGUGGAUUCUGUAAGUUAUCUAAGAAACUCAGGAACCUAUUUUUGUGUGUAUGUGAGCCUUGACACUGGCACUGGAAAUGGAAUCAUAAGGGUUUUGAAUCUAUCAAAAAGUGGUAGUGGUGGCUGGUUGAUAGUGAGCCCUGGUGACCACUAUGGUAUGGAGGAUCUCAGAGGGGAGAGUUGGUCCAGUUCUGCCCCAUGACCUGUGGGUUUUCAUGGCUCUCAACUUCAUAGCAAGGACUGGGCUUGAGAGUCCAGAGUCAGCUAAGUCAGAGUUGGUGAAUAAUUACAUAAUAACACGGGCUUCCCUGGUGACUCAGAGGUUAAAGCGUCUG